AAGCAGGGCACAGAUAUUCUCUCUGCAGCUGUGCAUACUUUGGAAAGACUUUUUAUUAAAGUUUUUGCAGCCAGAGGCAAAACUGGGACCUGCAUCAACCACUGACUGUAUACAGUAAAAUCACUAAUAUUGUACUUUCCUUGACUUUAAAGGCUAAAAGGAGGAUCUGACCUUUUUGAAGCUCUCAGCAGCUGCAGGAAUCUAGGACAGACUCUUCACAUGAUCUGUACAGGCGUGUGCUUUCAAAGGUUCUGGUGGCACACAACAUCUCGUCGGACAAAAAACCCAGUUUACAGUAUACUGUCUCCCAUCUGCUCCCAACAAUGUUGUUUAUUGACACCAUCUCCCCUUGGAUCAGAGUAGACCUUUUUCAGGAAUGGAUGGUGAGAUGUGGUCCACAGGAUCCAGAGGUUGCUGACUGCAGAGAGAAGGCUGUGAAUUUAGGAACACUCACAUAUUCUACAUGCAACUCCAGAUAGAUACAGUAGUUAGAGGAUAUAAAGUGUUGGGACUCAUCAUUCAAGAGACCAGAUGUUUCUUUGCCUCCAGUGGACAAAGGAACUCACACCCCACAGUUGCUCAUUGUUCACACCUGGGGACGACCCUUCCCUCCCACGGACCCCACUGGCCAGCCAGUGUGGGUCAGCGUGUGACAUUUGAUCCCCAAGGGUGUCACCAAACAAAACCAGAUCUCUCUCUCUUUCUUCCUUCUUGGUUUGCUUUGGAGAGCAGCUCCUGCUCUUCAAAUGGCAACAAGGCCCCAGCCCAGGUCAGCUCUGCUACCUCAGAAACCAGCUUUCUCGCCGGCCUGCUCACAGCAGCCUGCAAACACUCUUCUCCUCAACAGCAGCGACCUGCUUCGGAUUAACUGAGUGAACCAGAUUCUCUUCAGAAUCACCAGCUACGACACAAGGCCAGCUGAUUUUACAAGCUACAGGAGUCAUAGCAGAGUUAGCAAGGAACAGCUAACUCUGUGAGGAGAACAAAGGAGAUAACAGCAAAGCAACACAGCCAGACAGGACUUUACUCCACCAGGAAGCCUCCCAACUCACUGGACUUUACAACAACACUGGAAAGGACCUCUGUUUGUUCCAAGGACUGGGUAACGUUAACUGACUGGGCCUAACCUUUCCCAGCACAGCAUAGCUAAGCUGCAGAAGUCUUAACUUUGUUAAUUUACUUGUUGGUUGGUGUCUUGUUGUUGUAAUGUUUGCUUAGGUUGUGGUCAGUCAUACAGUUAAUUGGGUACUCGUAUGUUCACACAGAUAGUAGUAUGUCUCAGUUCUAGAACCUGCUAACCUCCUCCCUCUAACCUGGUACCUUUUUAGAUUACAUGAGCUAGGCUAACAAAGAAACUCACACCUUCCCUCCCACACACACACACACACACACACACACCAGGUGGUCUCAGCGGCCAUUUGAGUAGUUUCUUUGUUUACCGCCAUCUUGUGUAGUCUUCUUUGUUCAGGUCAUGUGGUCACAGUGACCGCUUUUAAUCGGCCAUCUUGCCUUUGUUUGUGUCCCCACAGACACACACACCUGUAUAUACUAGAUAAGUCAUUGUGUUUUACUCUGCUCCAUUGUAAAUAAAUGCCUUUAA